GGCGGCACGCCUAAUACAUGCAAGUCGAACGAGAAAGCACUUCGGUGCGAGUACAGUGGCGGACGGGUGAGUAACGCGUAGGAAUCUACCUAGUAGUGGGGGACAACUCGAGGAAACUCGAGCUAAUACCGCAUACGCUCUACGGAGGAAAGUGGGGGACCUUUGGGCCUCACGCUAUUAGAGGAGCCUGCGUUAGAUUAGCUAGUUGGUGAGGUAAAGGCUCACCAAGGCUACGAUCUAUAGCUGGUCUGAGAGGACGAUCAGCCACACUGGAACUGAGACACGGUCCAGACUCCUACGGGAGGCAGCAGUAGGGAAUCUUGGGCAAUGGGCGAAAGCCUGACCCAGCGAUGCCGCGUGUGCGAAGAAGGCCUUAGGGUUGUAAAGCACUUUCAGUUGCGAAGAAAAGCUGCGGUUUAAUACGCCGUGGUCUUGACGUUAACAACAGAAGAAGUACCGGCUAACUCCGUGCCAGCAGCCGCGGUAAUACGGAGGGUACGAACGUUAAUCGGAAUUACUGGGCGUAAAGCGCGCGUAGGCGGUUUGAUAAGUGGGAUGUGAAAGCCCCGGGCUCAACCUGGGAACUGCAUUCCAAACUGUCAGACUAGAGUGUGGUAGAGGGAGGUAGAAUUUCCUGUGUAGCGGUGAAAUGCGUAGAUAUAGGAAGGAAUACCGAUGGCGAAGGCAGCCUCCUGGACCAACACUGA
rnacentral:rRNA from 1 species